UGGGGAAUCUUGCACAAUGGGCGAAAGCCUGAUGCAGCGACGCCGCGUGGGGGACGAAUGCCUUCGGGUUGUAAACCCCUUUCGGCAGGGAAGAAGCGCAAGUGACGGUACCUGCAGAAGAAGUCCCGGCUAACUACGUGCCAGCAGCCGCGGUAAGACGUAGGGGACGAGCGUUGUCCGGAUUCAUUGGGCGUAAAGCGCGCGUAGGCGGUUUGGUAAGUCGGAUGUGAAAACCAGAGGCUCAACCUCUGGCCUGCAUCCGAUACUGCCCGACUAGAGGUAGGUAGGGGAGAUCGGAAUUCCUGGUGUAGCGGUGAAAUGCGCAGAUAUCAGGAGGAACACCGGUGGCGAAGGCGGAUCUCUGGGCCUUACCUGACGCUGAGGCGCGAAAGCUAGGGGAGCAAACA
rnacentral:rRNA from 1 species